UACAGAGGUCUCAAGCGUUGUUCGGAUUCAUUGGGCGUAAAGGGUGCGUAGGUGGCGUGGUAAGUCGGGUGUGAAAUUUCGGAGCUUAACUCCGAAACUGCAUUCGAUACUGCUGUGCUUGAGGACUGGAGAGGAGACUGGGAAUUUACGGUGUAGCAGUGAAAUGCGUAGAGAUCGUAAGGAAGACCAGUGGCGAAGGCGGGUCUCUGGACAGUUCCUGACGCUGAGGCACGAAGGCCAGGGGAGCAAACGGGG
rnacentral:rRNA from 1 species